rnacentral:lncRNA from 1 species
CUAGGGUCGCACCUGCAGCAUAUGGAGCUUUCCAGGCUAGGGGUCUAAUUGGAGCUACAGCUCCCAUCCUAUGCUACAGCAAUGCUAGAUCUGAGCCACGUCUGUGACCCACACCACAGCUCAUGACAACGCCAGAACCUUAACCCACUGAGCAAGGCCAGGGAUAGAACCCACAUCCUCAUGGAUACCAUGUCAGAUUCUUAACCCACAGAGCAAUAACAGGAGCUCUGAGAUGAAUAUUUUUAGAAGUAGACUUAGUUCUACCAACUGCCCAGAAGUACAGAGCAGGAAUAAAAAGAAAAGUGCUGGUUAGUACUCCAGGAACAACAAAUAAAGGAGUCCAGUCAGAGAGCAACAGCAAGGAGAGGAAGGCAGAGGUCAAGAGCCCACUGGAUUGUCUGAAGAGGGGUCCCUUCUGUAGCAGAGAACCUCUUAUCUGAAGGACUGUGGAGGGGCAAGAGACAAAUUCGAUUGCCGGCCCUGAACAACUGGUGCCAGGCCAAGGACCCCACUCAGUGUCUUCCUAAGCUUGAGCCCAGGCAGAAAAAAGACAAGAGGAAGGAAAUAUACCAACGUGAUUGAAGUGGUUGUGUCUGAACAAUAGGAUUGCCGACAACUGCCAUUUAUCUUUAUGCUGUCCCGUAGUAGCAAUAUAUUCAGCAACAGGUAGGUAUUCAUUUUCAAUACAAAAUUUUUUGCUAUAUAUGCACUUAAAUCAAAAAGCAUUAAAGGUUAAGCACAACAAUGACAUGACAACCAACCGAGCAGCAAAAGAAGAGAGAACGUUCUCUCAGAUCUAACUUGCUCUGGCAAAUCAUUAGCCCAGGUCACCGGCAUCAGUAACAGCACCAUCCUCCCUACUAGCUGUUAUUACUUUAUUGGUGGUAUUAUCAUAGCUACCAUGUACAGAAAGCUUACUCUGGGUUAGGGCACUACACCAGUGCUUUAUACUUACCCUCUUUUAAUUAUCAGAACAUCUUUACAUACUAGGCUCUAUCAUUAUUCCCAUUUACAGAGAAAGAAACAGAGGCCCGAGAGCUUAAACAACUGGCUAAAGAACACAUGGCAAGUAGGUGACUAAGAGGACCAAGAUAUAGAGCCAGACCCUGUCUGAGUCCACAGUUCUAAACCACUUGGUAAAAAUCAAAACAACUUGCUCCGAUAACACGUCUGACCCUUUUCGUCACUCUGCGCUGCUCCUAUGUGCACUUGAGCCUCUCUUGUUCAGGACACCUUCUCAAAUGUAAGCUUCCCAGCCUAAGAAAUUUUUGUCUGUUUUGUUCACAGCCAUGUCCCCAGAGCCAAGAAAAGUGUCUGGCAGAUAACAGACACUCAAUAAACAUUUGUUGAAUGGAUGAAUUAACUCAAAUACAUCAAAUUCUAAGCACAAUAUUCUCUUUGCAGCUGUCCAACUCCUAAAAGCAAAGGCGGCUCCAUACUUUUUAAAUCUUCUACUAUGAUCAAUAUUAUCAUAGUUAUAUUGGCUAGUAGUUCUACUCUUCUCCAAACAGUUUUUCUUUACAUACUGGAUUCAUACCCAGACAACAAUUUCCUAGCUUUGUCUGCAAUUGGCAGGGACUUAUGACUGAGUUCCAGCCAAUGGAAUAUGGGGUAAAGUAACAGAGCCACUUCCAAACCUGACCUGUUAAAAGCCCAAUCUUCCAUACUCUUCUUUCCUUUGCCAGUUGGAAACAUGACAGAAGCAGAAGAGAGAAGAAGCCAGGGUCUCUGCACGUCUACAAGGCUUAGAGUCUUGCUCUACUCGGCUGACCUACAUUGGAGCUAGACAUAAGCAAGGAAUCAAGAAAUUUUAUUAUUUUAUUUUAUUAAGCCUUAGACUCUGGAGUUAUUUGGUACAGCAGUUACUCCUCCCUGAUUAAUGCACAACCAUAUCAAUUAAAAUUUGUUUGAGCAUGAAACGAAUAUAUUACAUAAUACAUUUUAAAAAUAUUUAUGUACUGUAUAUGUAUGUACAUAUAUAUAAAUAAUUGAUAAAUAUGUACAAGACCUACUGUAAUAUAUAAAUCAUAAAACAUAUCAAAACAAAAUUUGAAAAGGAUGGGAUACAGAUGAUAUAAAAACAUCUUAAAAUUUCUUUGUUCCCGCUGUGGCGCAACUGGUCAGCCACAUCUCUGGAGCACUGGGAUGCACGUUCAAUCUCCAACCCAGUACAGUGGGUUAAGGAUCUGGUGUUCUUACAGCUGAAGGGUAGGUAGCAGCUUUCUGGCCCCAGGAGCUCCACAUGUCACAGGGCAGCCAAAAAAAAAAAAAAAUGUUUUUUUUUCUUACAUCAACUAUACUUCAAUUAAACUUUCAAAAAAUGAAAAAAAAAAAUUCUUGCUAAUCCUGAUGGUUCCACUAUAUUACUAGGCAACUUUUCAAGGCAUGUUGUGGCUUAGGAAAAAGUGUACUAUUAACAGUGAUGGAAACAAGUCUAUAUUUCAAAUGGCCUUCUUAGUGAUUAUUUGGUGGCUGACUUUGCACCAGUUCUGAUUAUACCUUUAUAAUUUUCUGUCAUAAUAUGGCUGAUGAAGAGCUCAAAUUAGGACUAGGAGUGACAGCUCUGCCAUUUUAUUGUUGCUCCCUUAUAGCAAUAGUAUUAUUUUCAAUCCAAGGUCUCCUUACAAGGGUUUGUAUAAGCCACUUGUCUAUUUUGUGAAGGUUGGUUUCAUAAAAAUUAGAUCGGACAAUCCAUAAAUCCACUUUACCAGGCACAACUGAAAUGUGAUAUCUCCCAGUCCACUGAGGACAAACGAACAUAUAAAAGUACCAGUAUCAAACUUUCCCUUCCUUUAAGAUGUGUGGAAAGCCUGCCCUUCCUUUGGCAUGUGUCAAUACCAUAUGAUACAUGUAGUCAUGUGACAUCAGAUCAUUUAAGGAUGUUAGGAAUAAUCUACAUACUACAAAUAUGUUAAACUGGAGUUCACCUCAUGGCUCAGUGAAUUAAGAACCCAACUAGUAUCCAUGAGGAUGCAGGUUCAAUCCCUGGCCACUCUCAGUGGGUUAAGGAUCCAAUGUUGCCGCGAGCUAUGGUGUAGGUCACAGACACAUUUUUUUUUUUAUUUAGUUUUUCUCCUUUUUAUUUUAUUUUUUUUAUUUCCCUAUUACAUUAUUUUUUUUCUAGUUGCAGACACAAUUCGGAUCCUGCAUUGCUGUGGAUGUGGUAUAGGCCAGCAGCUGCAGCCACUGUCCUGGCAGGUGUUUUGGACAUGUAAAUCCUAAUGCUCUUUGAAGUCCCCCAUCUGUCCCUCAGCUCCGCAGAGUGUAGGAUAGCCAACAUCACUCCACCUACUUAAGUUCUCUCCUACUUAGUCACUAUCCUAUCCCGAGGUCAGAGUUCUUCCUCUUAUUAUGGGCUAGAAGCCCUGGUUUCCUCACUGCUAGAUAUUAACUAAACUCUCUUCGAUUUGCCCUCAAGAAAUCCUAUCUUAUCCACUCAAGUAAAUGCCUAUGGCUUCAGAUGACUGGGCUGCUAAGUGAUGUGGUGAUAAGACCCUGGGGCUAUGACUUAAAACAUCCAGUUUCCACCAGACUCUCUUCAAUGAAGGCAACAUGGCCCUUUUUAUCUCAGUGUCCAUUUCCAUGGGACAGGGACAGUAGUGCCUGGCUUACCUACUUCCCAGGCACUAUGAAAGGAGUAUAAGAAAUAAAGAACUGUGGGAGAAGAGAUCCUUAGAGCCCUGACUUGAGUGGGCUGCAUGCAGGCUCCACAGAGGGAAACACGGCCAGAAUCUAAGAAGGGAAGUUCUCCAAAACAAUGAGCUGGUUAUCUGAUGCUGCCUUCCAGGAAACCUUGAGAGCAGCUUAGGACAACACAGGACAAGAAAAGCCCUAAAAGAUUCUAGAUUUUUAUUCCUUUAAUCAAAGCCUUGAGAAGUUAAGCUCACAGUAGAUAAUGAAGAGGCAAGGUUCCCUGGGCAUGUAUGCAAAGCAGAGAACAUACAGCAGACUCUCCAACCAGGCAGAGAGCUCCUAGCCAGGGACUGAAUAUCAGGAUCUGGGUAGAGCCUCACAGUGGGCUUUGAAGUCAGGGCUGAGUUCAAGUUGAGGCUCUGAUACUGACAACUUUCAGGCAAUUUAAUCAACCCAGGUAUGCCUCAUUUUCACUAUAGGUAAAGUAAGGACAGUAAUACUUUAAUUCUGUUUAUGAAGCUUUAAUGAAACAGCAGCUAUGCCUGAUAUAAUCCAGGACCUGGCACAUAGAAAAGGUUCCCAAUAAAUAGUUCUUCAUCCUCAUUAUCUUUCACUCUUCUUGCCCUUGCUUAGCCCAUCUUAAAAAGGAAAUAGAUGAGGCAUAGCUAACAUUUGCCAAGUACUUAGGAGUUAGGCUUGGCAAGCGCUUAUCGACAUCAGAGGUUAGAGAAGUGCUUCGUGGUGGGUCAUGCAGAGUGGAUACUCAUGCCCUGCAAGUCCCUGCCAAGAAGUCAUGGGUAAUGAGCAGUGAAAACAAAGCAACAAACCCUAGCCAGGCUGGAGGAGGGACAGCGGGGAGGCAGCUGGCUGCCAGCAGCAAAAAUGACCUUUUCCACUCAAGGGCACCCUAAGUGAAGCGGGUGAAGAGCAAAGAGGACUCAGAAGACCUUGACAAGAGGACCUUGCUUCUUUACCAAGAAAGAGGACCCUCUUGGUCCAAGUCAGCAGAGCUCUACCUAACUUGUCUGUGCAUGUGCCU